rnacentral:lncRNA from 1 species
AGGAAACGGUUAAAGGGGAAAACUGAUCCAGGGACUAACUCUGUCUCAGGGGCCAGAGCUGUAAGCCAAAAACGAAGAACAUGGAGACAUGGAGCCACUGGAAGUAAAAGAGCAGGCCCGCCAGCUAGCAAGAUGCUUCUUGUCGGUAGCUUUCAGGAGGUUUUGUAAAGGGAGCAUCUUCAGUUCAGGUGGUUUGGCCCACGACUGACCGUGACGGUCCAUCUACCUCAUGUGGAUGGUAACACUGAUGAAACCAGGCAUCAUUUUUGACCAGAACAAAUGCCAAUGGCUCCC